CAAAGAAUAGUUUAUUUAAAAUAAUAAUUUUGGAGAUUAUAGAUAAAAUUUAUUUUUUUCUUUGA
rnacentral:tRNA from 1 species